GGGGGAUUAGCUCAGUUGGUUAGAGCGCUUGCUUGACAUGCAAGAGGUCAAUGGUUCAACUCCGUUAUCUCCCA
rnacentral:tRNA from 1 species